rnacentral:rRNA from 1 species
GUAAGGAAUAUUGGGCAAUGGAGGCAACUCUGACCCAGCCAUGCCGCGUGCAGGAAGACGGCCCUACGGGUUGUAAACUGCUUUUAAUAGGGAGUAAGGUUAGUUACGUGUAACUAAUUGCAAGUACCUAUAGAAUAAGGAUCGGCUAACUCCGUGCCAGCAGCCGCGGUAAUACGGAGGAUCCAAGCGUUAUCCGGAUUUCGUGGGUUUAAAGGGUGCGCAGGCGGACUAAUAAGUCAGUGGUGAAAUCUACAUGCUUAACAUGUAUCGUGCCAUUGAUACUGUUGGACUAGUAUGCAAAUGACGUAGCUGGAAUGUGUUAUGUAGCGGUGAAAUGCUUAGAUAUAACACAGAACACCGAUCGUGAAGACAGGUUACGAAUUUGUAAUAGACGCUCAGGCACGAAAGCGUGGGGAUCAAACAGGAUUAGAUACCCUUGUAGUCC